UGGGGGAGUAUCACCACCCCUGAGAGGGUGUUGUGAACAUGAAAUAAACACAGCAUGGGACUCAGCACGCAAGCCUCCCUCUUCUGCUGGAUGGAUGGAUGCUGGGCGCUCCUCCCUCUCUUUUCUCUGAUCCGACAAAGACCCUUCCUCCUAAUUCUUUCUUCCUUAGAGAAUUGGUCUUCCCCGUGGGUUCCGGCUUCCCUCUGUAUUCCCAGGCUGAUGCCCGUCUUCCCGCAGCGGCCGGUUUCCUGACUCUGUAGCUUUGCUAUGAUGUGAUGACAGCAUUAAGGAAACUUGAGAAACGGGGUGUGGGGGGGCAGCCACGAGUUCCACUGGACGUCUUUGAGGUCUUGUCUUCUAGGGGCACCCGGCGUGCCUUCGGCAGCCCUGGGCUCGGCUGGGAAUUACGACCCGGCGGCCCAAGGGCUUGUCCUGAAUCUUGACUCCGCUGUGUGUGUGUGUGCUGGGAUGCACAGAAUCUGGCUUUUUCCAUUUGUGAAAUAGCUGUCAUGGCGUUUGCCCAGUAAACAGAUGACUGUCCCUAGAUGGAAAUAGAUAAUAUAUGUUUCUUCCACAUGGGUGGCCCUCCCUGGCACCCUUCGUCCCUUAUCUGGUUCUUAUUUAAUGGGAAGGAUAAGAUAACAAGGGUAAGGCAUAGCCAGGCCUACCCCUUCCCCACUGUGGGCCCUGGAGAUGAGCCAGGAAGACGGGGGUGGGAGGGAGGGUAUAAUUUACAGAAAGGACGGUGAUGGGGCGAGCCCUUGGCAUUUUCUCUUGAGCCUCACUUGUCACGAUUAGCCUUUCCUGCCCCAACAAGGCUUGAGUUCAUGCUGCGUUUGACUAGCCAAAGAGUGCCCUCCGCCCUUGGCCACGCCUUGACCAAGAUGUGCUAGACUGAGGGGAGGGGCAGCCCAGCGCCCCAGCUGACUUAGCGUCUGUCUCAGGGUGUCAUCCCUUAGAGUCCAGAGCAUUCAGCCUCUCCCCAGGGCCUGCUGGGAAGGAGAGGAUUGGGGAGGGAGGUGGCGGCAGCUGGUCUCAGAGCUCCCUGGAUCACUCAACCCGUUGACUUAAGCCAUCGGGACCCCUUGUGGCUUCACGCCGAUUAUCUCUGCGAUGGGCAUCCAUAACAAGCAGCAUCGAGAGAGUUUGCAGAACACUUCCCAGUGUGUCUAGCUCGGUUUUCGUCUUGGGAGCAGCUCCCUGAGCAGAUAGACUUCUUACUGCCCUCAGUUGACAGCCCAAGGGAUUCCCAGACGAGUCUGGUCACUUGGCCAAGGGCACGUGCUGAAUGUAUCACUAGAAUUAACAUCCCUCCACAGAUACUGCCCUAAACAAGGAGAUGUGGCUUGUUGCCCCUCAUCUGGAAGACCUGUGACUGUCACCCGGUCCCAGACUCCUUCAGCCUCCUGCUCUGUCUUCCUGGGCAUAUGGUUUUUGUCCUCAUGCUCCUAAGAUGGCUGCUGCACCUCCAAGCAUCGCAUUCAUAUUCCAGGGAGGAAGCAGGUGGAAGGGUGAAGGGAAAAAAAAUCAAAAGGCCACGUUUGACUCUUAAAAAAACAACACAAAAACAAAACAACUGUCCUCAAAACUCCAGCAAGUUCUGCUGACAUGAGUCAGAAAUGAGUCUCCGGACCACCCUUGGCUACAGGGGAGAUGGGGGAGGAGAGAAUUUUAUCAGACGCGUUGCUGGGAAUUCUGUCGCAAAGGAGGGAAUAACAGAUGUUUAAGAGGCCAGCCAACACACUCAGCCGUGGCUUAUAAAGCUCCAAAGCCAGGACUCAGCCGAAAAGACGGACACUCUUGGAGGGACACUUCGUGGGACUUCUGGGAUCUGGCUCUGAAGCGUGCAAGGGCUGAGGUUGGAGACCCGGCUGACGGAGGAACCGAGUGUGUAUUUCCAGCCCCCGUCUUAGCCAGAGAGAGGACCCUUGACGAGCCCCAAGACGGGCGCCUUCCCGUAUCCGGCGGAGGCCAAGGAGUAUGACGGUGCCUUCUCUUUGGGAGAACGUGGGGGAUUGUGAGGUAGGUCCCUCCCUACAGGACACGAGAUAGUGAUUCAUCGCCACGGAGACAGAAUGUUCCUUUGGGUCUAAAGAGGACAAAGGCGCGUGUUUGUGAGUGUUUGAAUUCCUCCAUCCAGUCUCAGGCUCAGUCUUGGCUUUGGCCAAUGGAGAGAGACCACCAGGGCUGGCUCAGAACUGUGUGUGUGCGUGUGUAAGCACAUGUGUGUGGAUAUGUGUGCACAGGUGUGUAUACAUGGAUGUGUACACACAUAGGUGUGCACAUGGGGGCUUGCGCAUAUGUAUGUGCACGUGUGUUUUGUGCGUGCAUGUGUGCAUUAUAUGCGUGUGCGUGCAUGCAUGCAUCUGUGACUUAAGGAAUGAGCACAGGAAAGAUCGCACUUGGCCUUUCCUCUUCCUCCUGCCUGUGUGGGCUGGCGGACACAGAAGGGGAGGCCUGAUGGGCCCAGCACCGGCACGAGGGCCCGGAAGACUCAGGUUCUGAUCCUGGUUCUGCUACUACAAGCUGUGUGACCUUGGGGAAGUCUCCUCAAUUUCUUCAUCUGUGAAACGGGAUAGAUAGGCAUAGCUGGGGGCGUGGAGGCUGGGCUCCCUGCCUGCCUCUUGGCGGGCACUUGGCAGAUGUUGCCCCUCAACGUGGGCUCACCCAGACCCAGGGGACGGUGCCGCGCCUACGCAUCUGUACCGCGUCCUUUCCGCUUUCGGAGACCGGAUGGGUCGUGCUUCCAAAUAAGGCUGGCCAUGGCCGAAGCUUCUCCUGCCCGGACCGAGGUUCGGGCUAGGGGUGAGGCGGCGGGGCCACGGCCACGACACUCCCGUGGUUCCUCUUGGGGGUAAAGCGUAGGGCUCAGUGGGGCUCUUGCAGUCCCGGGAGGUUUUACACCGAUCUUGGGAGACGUCACUGCAGUCCCGGAGCUUACGAGAGGCUGCUUGCCGAGACUCUCACGGCCAGUUAAGGGGCAGAGUGGAGCCUGGACCCAGAAGAGUCAGGACUUUCUAGAGAAGUUAUGUUACUGCGGUCAUUUGGUCUCGGGUGUUUCACCAGCGGCCUGGUGCACCUGCUCUGCGCUCCGACCGUGUGCCAGGCCUCGGGACAGAACAGUAAGCGGGGCAGGGGCAGCGCCUCCCUUCUUGGACAGAUUCAGUUCUGGCUCCACGGCCGUGUAAUUUUAAGGCCUCCACAGAGAUGAGUCAACUCAUCCCCACCCCUGGGUGCUGCCAGGGACAUCCCUGAUGCAGCCGGCAAGGGUCCCAUAUCUGCCACCAAGAUGGCGUCCAGGCACCGCACUAACGACGUCUGCCACCACGUACGAAGGGUGUCCUUUCCUCCCGGCACUGUGUCUCGGACCACAGGGUGACCUCCUCUCCUGAGAAGCUGGGGCGAGGGGGCCCACUCCCGUCGUACAGAUGGCGACCCAGGGCCCAGAGGGGUCGAGGGAGGGCAGGGCUCGGCUGUGUACCCCGAUGACCCCAGGCUGGCGGGCGCUGCCUGGCCUGGCCUAUUUUUAGAGGGCGCCAUGUGGGUCAGCUGGGGAGACAAUGGAGAAUGUGGCCCUCUCAAUGGGCCAUUGUUCCCAAUCGGCUUCAACGCCAGGGCUGGGCCCAGCAGAUGAUCCGUGGCCCCCACUGGGGCCCAGGCUGUUGCUCCCUCGUCUGUGGAUUUUUCCACUGUUUUCCCCGUGUUUAUAUAGGCGCAAGCCAAGGGUCGGGCACUGAGCGGAAGAGGGAGGGGGCCAGGAUGGUGGGCUCCGUGGUCGGGAGACUCCCUCUGUGGCAGGUGAUGAGGCGGGAGGCUCAGGAGGACCCUUGUGAUGGGGCCGGGCCUGGGCGCUGACAGGGAGGGGGGUCCCCUCCGCGCUGUGCCCUGGGUGGGCCCGUGGGCCUCACCUGGUGACCGCUCACGCACCCCGGGACGUUCCAUGGUUCUCCCGUCUCACAGACGUGACGGCAGCCUGGGCGCUCCCCCUUGGUUGGUUAUCCGGCACCCCACUUGCUUGCUUCAGGGGUCUUCGGGGUGGGGGCUGGAAGCCCCCACGUCCCCGUGCUCGGGAUGGGGGAGGGAGCGGCUUCUUGCUAGAAGCACGGGUACCGUGCUCCCCGUUCUAGAGGUGGAGCCUGAGAACUGGGGCGUAUGUCCUUAUUUUUGAGCCAGGUUUCCCAGAUCGACAGCCCAGACGUUGACCUCAAAGGAUGCUGGGGGUGGGCGCUACCCUGCUCCCCUUCCCACCCUGCCCCUCCCCCCUCAGUGGGUUCUACACCCUCUUUCUUGCUGGUCCCAGAGCACCAUGUCCGCACGUAGCAAGCUCUUGCCACGUGUUCCCGCAGGCCUGGGGCCCACCCCGCUACCCCAACACUAGCUUGUGAGCUCUUACCGACUCCUCUCGGCACACGCAUACAGUAGGUGCAUAAUAAAUGUCUUUGGGUAAAGUCGCACUGGCUUAAGUGGAGAAGGAGCAGGGGUGGGAUUUGGUCCCCAGCCUGGUAGACUGUGUGCGUGUGGCUACAUCACUCUGCCUCAGAGGUGACCCCUCACAGGCCUGAGAUCAAGGGGCUGCAGGCACAGUCCCUCCUGCCGUGUCCUGUGGGCCUCCCGGCAUCCCCCAGGGCUGGCAGGUCCCAGGCCCGUUUCCAUUGUGCAGGCAGCUGGGGGAAGGGGCUGCUUGCCCAGACCCACAGGGGUCCUAACUGGGGGGUCUGGCCUGUUUCUUCUUCUCGCCCGUGAGGGCGGGACACAGACCUCUCCCCUGCACUCGGUCAGUGACCGAUAUGAUUCACAUCUAGGCUGGCUUCUGGGAGCAGGUUAGACAGCGUCUGGAGUGUUCCCUCUUUGGGAAAUGAAUGUCAAGCGCUAAUCUAACGUGGCCUCCUAAGGAGGGAACGUGGUUUGAGUCCUCGCGCCUCUCAGACUGUGAGGGAGUAAGAAGCGUGUGGGGAACACUGGCCUACCGGGUGGGUGGGUCCUGACCGUGACUCUGGGCAGCCGACUUGGCUUCCCUGAGCCAGGGUGGCAGCAUCUGCCAGCUCGGGGAUGUGCCACCCUCGCAGGGCCCUUGUAGGGAUGCAGGGCGUAGAGGGAAAUGGCUCAGCGCCUCCCCUAGAACGUGGGAGCUCUCAGGGUCCUGUCCCCAGCAUGCUGGUGACCUCCCCCGUGCCCGCACCAGGUAGGAGGAGAGCCAGGAGUUGGGGGGGGGGGUGUGAGGAUGCAGGCAGAGAGCGCUUGGAAGGGGAGGUCACGGCUCUCAGACAUGAAGAGGGACAGGUCCUUGGAGCCCCUGGGGGACCUUGAGGAAGGUGGGAGCCCAAGACGGGGGUGGGCUGAAGGUGAAUCGAAGCAGUGGGUUGAGAAAAUUCAUGAACGCCACCCUUUGGAGAAGUUUAGUUAAAAACUGGCAGGUGAAUUUAUGGGCUUGGAAUCAAGGCAAGGCGAUUUUUUUUUUUUUUUUUUUUAAUUAGGAUAGAGGAAAAGUAAACAUGUCCUCAGAUCUUUAAAAAAAAAAAAAAGAAAAGAAAAUCACAGUAUAGUCCUGAGAAAUGUGGGGCUGACUGGCUGAGGGAGCCAGCUUGAGGACACAAGCUGGAGCACCGGCCUUGACCAAGGGAAGAGGGACCCCGGCCCUCCAAGAAGGGAGGACAGGACAGAGACGGCUAUGGCAUCAUUGAGGAUUCUUGUCGUCAACUCAAAAUGCCUUAAGGGGGCUUGGAAGUUGUUGGCCUGUGGUCCGAAAAUCCUAGAUGGUGGAUGCCGUGAGCAGGACCUCCUUUCUGUCUUUUCCGUCUCUGGGCUGGCUGUGUGUGCAGACAGGCCCUUGCCUCAUGGGAACAACAUGGCUGUUGCAGAUCCCCCCGCCUCCCAACACUGCUGGGUCAAGUCUAAUCCACUUCCCCAAUAGCUGCGGUUGGCUCUGGUUGUCCUGACUCAGCUCUUCUGCCCUUCUGUGAACCGGUCC